rnacentral:rRNA from 1 species
UACAGAGGGUGCGAGCGUUGUUCGGAAUUAUUGGGCGUAAAGGGCGCGUAGGCGGCUUUGCAAGUGACGGGUGAAAUCCCUCGGCUUAACCGAGGAACUGCCUGUCAGACUGCAUGGCUUGAGACCGGGAGAGGUGAGUGGAAUUCCCAGUGUAGCGGUGAAAUGCGUAGAUAUUGGGAGGAACACCAGUGGCGAAGGCGGCUCACUGGACCGGUACUGACGCUGAGGCGCGAAAGCGUGGGGAGCAAACAGG